AGAGUUUGAUCAUGGCUCAGGAUGAACGCUAGCGGCAGGCCUAACACAUGCAAGUCGAGGGGCAUCGGGAUUGAAGCUUGCUUCAAUUGCCGGCGACCGGCGCACGGGUGCGUAACGCGUAUGUAACCUACCUAUAACAGGGGCAUAACACUGAGAAAUUGGUACUAAUUCCCCACAAUAUUCGGAGAGGCAUCUCUCCGGGUUGAAAACUCCGGUGGUUAUAGAUGGACAUGCGUUGUAUUAGCUAGUUGGUGAGGUAACGGCUCACCAAGGCAACGAUACAUAGGGGGACUGAGAGGUUAACCCCCCACACUGGUACUGAGACACGGACCAGACCUCCGUACGGGAGGAA
rnacentral:rRNA from 1 species